rnacentral:rRNA from 1 species
AGUGAACGCUGGCGGUAGGCCUAACACAUGCAAGUCGAACGGCAGCACAGUAAGAGCUUGCUCUUACGGGUGGCGAGUGGCGGACGGGUGGGGAAUACAUCGGAAUCUACUUUUUCGUGGGGGAUAGCGUAGGGAAACUUACGCUAAUACCGCAUACGACCUACGGGUGAAAGCAGGGGAUCUUCGGACCUUGCGCGAUUGAAUGAGCCGAUGUCGGAUUAGCUAGUUGGCGGGGUAAAGGCCCUCCAAGGCGACGAUCCGUAGCUGGUCCGAGAGGAUGAUCAGCCACACUGGAACUGAGACACGGUCCAGACUCCUACGGGAGGCAGCAGUGGGGAAUAUUGGACAAUGGGCGCAAGCCUGAUCCAGCCAUACCGCGUGGGUGAAGAAGGCCUUCGGGUUGUAAAGCCCUUUUGCUGGGAAAGAAAAGCAGCAGGUUAAUACCCCGCUGUUCUGACGGUACCCAAAGAAUAAGCACCGGCUAACUUCGUG